rnacentral:rRNA from 1 species
UACGUAGGGUGCGAGCGUUUGUCCGGAAUUACUGGGCGUAAAGAGCUCGUAGGUGGUUUGUCGCGUUGUUCGUGAAAACUCACAACUUAAUUGUGGGCGUGCGGGCGAUACGGGCAGACUGGAGUACUGCAGGGGAGACUGGAAUUCCUGGUGUAGCGGUGGAAUGCGCAGAUAUCAGGAGGAACACCGGUGGCGAAGGCGGGUCUCUGGGCAGUAACUGACGCUGAGGAGCGAAAGCGUGGGGAGCGAACAGG